CUUUUCUUGCACAACUCCGAGUCCUUUAGAGUGAGAAAGGGUAGGCUCUCAAGAUCUCUAAUUCUCUAUGGAUCACGGACCUCUUGUUAUUCGUGUGAAUAAGAUAUCGCGGUGUAAAUAGCUUUGUCGUUAAGUCUGACUUUCGAGUACUGCUUUAAUUUCUCCCUCAAUUUUAUAUGGCUAAUUGUUCUGUAAAAACUGAUAUCCAACACACAAGUUGGCUAAAUUACCAUUAAUCUGUUUUGAUAGUCUGUUUUGUCUUUCACUAGGAUUUUCCUUUAUGUUAUUAACCUUAAG
rnacentral:misc_RNA from 1 species